rnacentral:lncRNA from 1 species
CUUCAUUCCUGCUCCUGCCUCCUGACGAACCUGGUGCUUCCUCAUGUGGUUCUGUGUGGCAUGACAUGUCCCCUUCUCCUGGGAAAUAAAAGAGAAAAGAACCACCUGAGUAAAGGAAAUCUGCAACUUGAACUCACUAAAUAAGUUGCUUUGAUUUUGGAUUCAGAGGGAAAAUGCACAGAUGUGUUAUAUGGGUAAAUCUCAUGUUGUAGGGGUUUGAUAUUCAGAUUAUUUCACCACCCAGGUAAUAAGCAUGGUACCCAAUAGGUAAGUUUUCUGUUCCCACCCUCUUCCCACCCUCAAGUAGGCCCUGGAAUCUAUUGUUCUGUUCUUUGUGUCCAUGUGUACUCAGGGUUUAGUUCCCACUUAUAAGUGAGAACAUGCAGUGUUUUGUUUUCUGUUCCUGCAUUAGUUUGCUUAGGAUAAUGGCCUCCAGCUCCAUACAUGUUGCUGCAAAGAACAUGAUCUCACUCUUGUUUAUGGCUGUAUAAUAUUCCAUGUUGUAUAGGUACCACAUUUGCCUUAUUCUGUCCACUAUUGAUGAUGAUUUAGAUUGAUUCCAUGUAUAUGUUAUUGUAAACAGUGCUGUGAUGAACACAUAUGUGCCUUUGUCUUUAAUAGUAGAAUUAUUUCUAUUCCUUUGGGUAUAUCCCCUGUAAUCCGAUUGCUGAGUCAAAUGGUAGUUCUAUUUUAAGUUUUCCAAGGAAUCUCCAAACUGCUUUCCACAGUGGCUGAACUAAUUCAUAUUACCACUAGUGGUAUGUAAAUGUUCCCUGUUCUCCACAACCUCACCAUCAUCUGAUUUUUUUUUUUACUUUUUAAUAAUAGCCAUUCUGACUGGUAUGAGAUGGUAUCUCAUUAUGAUUUUUAUUUGUAUUUCUGUAAUGAUUAAUGUUGAGCAUUUUUUCAUAUGCUUGUUAGGCCACGUGUAUGUCUUGUUUUGAGAGGUGUCUGUUUAUGUCCUUUGCCCAAUUUUUAAUACUAUUCUUUUUUGCUUGUUAAUUUGUUUAAGUUCCUUAUAGAUUCUGGAUAUUAGACCUCUGUUGAAUGCUAGUUUACAGAUAUUUUCUUACCUCCUGCAGGUUGUCUGUUUACUCUGCUGACAGUUUCAUUUGCUAUGCAGAAGCUCUUUAGUUUAAUUAGGUUCCAUUUGCCAAUUUUCAUUUUUGUUACCAUUGCUUUUAGGGACUUAGUCAUAAUUUAUUUGCCAAGUCUAAUGUCCAGAAUGGUAAUUCCUCUGUUUCUUUCCAGUGUUUUUUUAUAGUUUUAGAUUUCACAUUUAAGUCAUUAAUCCAUCCUGAGUUGAUUUUUGUAUAUGGUGAAGGGAAGGGGUCCAGUUUUAGUCUUCUGCAUAUAGCUAGCACCGUUUACUGAAUGGGAAUCUUUUCCUCACUGCUUGUUUUUGUCAACUUUAUCAAAGAUCAGAUGGUUAUAGGUGUAUGGCUUUGUAUCUGGGAUCUCUAACCUGCUCCAUUGGUCUAUGUGUCUGUUUUCCUACCAGUACCAUACUGUUUUGGUUACUGCAGCCUUGUAAUAUACUUCGAAGUUGGGUAGUAUGAUGCUUCUGGCUUUCUUCUUUUUGCUUAGGAUUGCUUAUGCUAUUCAGUGUCUUUUUCAGUUCCAUGUGACUUUUAGUAUAGUUUUUUCUAAUAUUCAAUUACUUUGAAUGUUGUUCAUAAUAUGCAGUAAGGCUAAAAAAUAAGUUUCAAAGUGGAAUGUAUGGUAUGAUCUGAGUUUUAAAUAGUAUAUAAAAUAUAAAUUCAUAUAUAAGGGGCAAAAAAUGUAGGGUAAAAAAAGAUAUGAAAAUACCCAAAUGGUAACAAAAUCACAGGCAAUCUUUACUAUGCCUGCUCAUUUUUCUAUAAUAUGUGUGUGUGUAUAUAUAUGCAUACAUAUAUCACUUUCAUAAAAAGUUUUUUAAUAAAAAGUUACCUUUAGAAUAGUGAGAACUUACUUUAUUUUGUAACCUACUUUAAAAUUAGCAUAUUUUAAUUUUAUUGGCAGUGUUUCAUUUAUCAACACCAAGCAAGGAAAUCUACAUCAAGGAAAUAACAAAAGUCAUUUGCUAGUUACCAAAAAUUACACUAUUACUUUGAGAAACUCCUUAUUUAUUUGUUUGUUUUUAGAGAUAAUGUCUUAGUCUGUCUCUCAGGCUGCAGUGCAGUGGUGCGAUCAUAGCUCACUGCAGCCUUGAACUCCUGAGCUAAAGCAAUCCUCCAGCCUCUGCCACCCCAGUAGUUAGGAUUACAGGUGUGUGCCACCAUGCCUGUUUAUAUAGUUUGCAUGUGUGUCCCUACCCAAAUCUCAUGUUGAAAUAUAAUAGCCAAUGUUGAAGGUGGGGCCUGGUGGGAGGUGACUGGAUUAUGGGAGCAGAUACCUCAUGUAUGGUUUAGCACCAUAGCCUUUGGUGCUGUCUUUGUGAUAGUAGGUUUUGUGAUAGUAAGUUUCAUGAGACAUGAUCAUUUAAAACUGUGGCACCUACCUCCAUCUCUCUUGCACGUACAUUCACCAUGUGAUAUGCCUACUCCCCCUCUGUCUUUUGCCAUGAUUCUAAGUUUCCUGAGGCCUCCCCAGAAGCCAAGCAGAUGCCAGCAUUAUGCUUCCUGUAUAGCCUGUGGAAUGAAUGACAAACUACUUGAGCACUGUUGAAACUAAUUUUUGUCUUUCCUAAAAUGGAGAGCAUUUAUUCACUGACAGAUUAUAAUGUGGGACCUCUUCUGGUAUGAGAGAUUCACAGUGAACAAGACAGAGGAGCUUUCUGUACUCACAGAUCUCAUAUUCUAUGGGAUGGAUGUUGAAAACAUCAAGUCAAAAGUGUGCGGUAAUUUGUGGAAGUCAAGAGGAUCAAUAAGAGAGACAAGUAUAGGAAAUUCUAUGAAGGAAGCAAAUUUAAAAUCAGGAAGUUACUUCAAUGGCCAUGGUUCUAACAGAAAUAGAUGAACAAUCUUAAUGGUCAACAAAAACAAAAUUAUAAUUAGUAGUCUGAGAGAUCAUAACGAUAUGCAUGUGUCAAGUAGACUGACAACACUAAAGGUGAAUCAGUACAAAGGAUCCAGGCAGAAGAUCUUGUGUACAGAAGCAUCUAGGAAGGCCACCAGAAAGAGCAUGUGUUAUAGUACCCACUCUGAAUACUGCUGGGAGACACAAACGUUUUUUUUGCCAUCCAACUCCAGAUUCCAUGCUGAACCACCAUUCUUUGAACAGAGUUCUUCCUUUGCAUAAAAUAUAACAUACUCAGUUAGGAGUGGUUACCGGCCGGGUGCGGUGGCUCACGCCUGUAAUCCCAGCACUUUGGGAGGCCAAGGUGGGCGGAUCACAAGGUCAGGAGAUCGAGACCAUCCUGGCUAACACGGUGAAACCCCGUCUCUAUUAAGAAUACAAAAACAAAUUAGCCAGGUGUGGUGGCUGGUGCCUUUAGUCCCAGCUACUAGGGAGGCUGGGGCAGCAGGAUGGCAUGAACCUGGGAGGAGAAACUUGCAGCAAGCCAAGAUCAUGCCACUGCACUCCAGCCUGGGCAACAGAGUGAGACUCCAUCUCAAAAAAAAAAAAAAAAAGGUGUUUACCAUGCUAUUUUGUUUGUUGUUUUCUUCUUUACCUAUCACAGAGGCUGGCACAUAGUAUGAAAUAUUGAAUAAUCACUAAUGAAUAAAUUAAGUUGAUGAUGCCUAAAAUUUCUCAGUUGCAAUCACGGUUCAGUCUCAUAUUUCUGAGACAAUAUUCCAGUACUCUUAAUUGGAAUCUUUGUGUAUUUCCAAAACCUCUGGGGAUUCCUCCACACCCCAUUCUCUUGCAUUACUUCUGCGGCAGUGGGGGGCUGUAGUGUUUGUGUCCAUUUUACUACUUAAAACAUAUGAAAGCUUAAUGUACUUUAACAUUCCUAGAGAUCUCAUCACAGAUUAAUUUGUAUACCAAUAGGCAACAGUACUUUGUCCAAAUCAUUAUUUUACAUUUUAUCUAUAUUAGUAUUUUGUCCAAGAUUAUUAUUAACUUUUGGUAUCAAGCCUAUUUGUGGUCAUGAUGUUUUAAAAACUAGCAUGCAUAAGAAUUUGGAGGUGCUAUAUGCUAUACCACCAGUUUCUAUUAGAAAUACAGAAAACAGACAGGGUACUGAACCAUCAUUACUUUUCCAUCUAUCACAUAUUCCCAUCGAUGACUAAUUAGCAGAACAAUGUGAGAGAAGUAUUGAAUCAUGAACCUAUGGCUCUUUGCUGGCCAUCUCCCUUCUGUUAAUGUAAGUUAUUUUAGGCCUAAGUAUGUAAUAACUUAGAGUCUUGAUAGUUGCAAUGCAGGAAAAACAUAUGAGUAUUGAUUAUGAACAAAACAGAGAAAUUCAGAUUCGAUGCACUCAGCUUCCAUACUUAUUCCUCUUUUUUCAUCCCUGUGGUGCACACACAGCUUGAUCUCCCUAAACCUCUUGAAUAAUCCUUGCUGAUGUUAAUAACCAAAAUGCUUAGCUAAAAAGGGCUAAAUCAGACCCCUCUCUGCCUUCUAGACUCCAAGGAAGUAACUUAAGGAGAAUAUGGUGAAUGGGCAGCCAUCCCUUUCCUCUUUCUCCCCAAGUUGCCUUUUGGAGAGUCUAACAAAAACUAUGGCACAAGAUACUAGAAAGAGAUCGAUGAUCUGCUCCUCAGUCUUGUCUAAUAGUCAAAACUGAUAGCCUCUGUAAAUUAAAAUCCCACAGAUAACAUUAUUUUUAAGAAUUAAAAUACCUGCUGAGAAGUGAUACAGUGCUACAUACUUGGAGAGUAAGACCAUUUUGAAUGUUACAUUCACCAGUAAAUUAAGAAAAGCAAUUUCAAAGACUUAAGGGGAGUUCUCAUUAGAAAUGGUAUAUAUAAAAUUCUCCCACAGAAAUUCUUGUUAAAGGGAGUUGAGUUAUUUUAUGCUAGUUUCCGGAAAGGUUAAAGGAGUUGAAUCAAAUUUACUUCAUUGUUAAGGUAUUUUAAAUAUAAUAUAUAGGCCUUGAUUCUAACUAAAUUCACAGUGGUCUCCAGGAGUUGAAGAGGUUGUGAACUCAAGCACUACUCUCAGAGAAGCUGGCUGGCUUCUAGCACAAAAAGUCUUCUCCCACUUUGAGCCACACUACUGUGCAUUACUGACAUUUAAUCUCUUGGCUACCCUGGGACAUUGUGUAGAAACCCAAACACAACUAAUGAGGGCCCCAGCCAAUGCUGGCCACUAGACUAAAUGCAGGUGGGCUUUUUAACGGAUCUGUGAAUCAAAGCUGCCCCCUACAGAGGCUAUAGAAACUGAGACUCAAAAAACUUUUAGAGCUACCCAGGCAGAGGCAUUGGUCAUAUGUAUGCCUCGGGGCAGCCAAGAUGUAGUCAACCUUCAGGUAGGGUGUACUGACAGAGAUACACAGUGCUGAGGCCUGGGAUAUUUCUCUUUAGAAAGCACAAGAACCCUAACGGGGUGAGAGAAGGCACAUUUUGUUUUCUUAUUGCAUUGCAUCCUCACAGAUCAAUCAAAUUAAUGUCUUUUUCCCCAAGAGAAGAAUGUUUGGGCUAUUUUUCUGGCAACCAAAGACAAGUCACCUAGAGAUCCUGAAAGUCCUAAAACUCAAUAUUAGGGCUAGAACUUUUUCCUUUAGCAGCCAAACCUGAACAAGAACUUCUCUGUAUCCUGGGUUUGGUGAGCAAGGGCUAAGUAGAACCCCCACAUUUUGGAAUCUGCAUCUCAGAAGCAUGUUUCAGAAAACACAGCUACAAUUUGACCCCUAGGCAGGCAGCCCUGGGUGUAGAAAUUACUGGCAUUUGCAGGCUUCCUCUAGAAAACAAGGGUAGUGAGAGGCACUUAGUGCCCUUCCAGAAAUGCAGCUUCACACAUUGUCUCCAUUUCCACUACUAACUUGUGGACACCAAGUAACCAAAUAUUAUUUAAGACCAAGCAAGCAGAACUUAAUAGUCAUUCAUGUGGCUAGGUUAGAAUUUCAGCUGGGUGUGGUGGCAUGUUCCUGUACACCCAGCUACUUGGGAGGCUAAGGCGGGAGAAUCACUUGAGGCCAGGAGUUUGAGUCCAGCCUGAGCAACGCAGCCAAACCACAACUCUAAAAAAAUAAAUAUAUAAUAAAAAGUAAAACAGAAUUUAGCGACUAGGUUUAAAUUACAUGGACUAUAAUGCUUCAUAAUGAAAAUUAAAUCUAGAUUAUUAGUGGCUAAGGCAUUGUAGCAGAGAGCAAAAAAUGCAUUAUGAAGAAUGAAAUUAAAAGGGCCUUUACUACGUAUGUGAAAAUGCAUAAUUUUGAUGCAUUAAAAUAUAUUCAGAUAAAGACUUAAUGUUUUUAGUUAACAUUGACAUAUUUGCUUCAUCUAUCCUUUUUUCUUUCCUUUUCUCUUUAGCUCUCUAUUAUCUUAAAGCAAAUCCUUCAAAUAAUGCCAUUUUUCCUUUAAACAUUUAUAUAGUAUGACAAAAAUACAUUUUGUUACAUAAUUACAAUUAACACACCUACCAAAAUUGGUAAGAUCCCAUUAGUAUUAUUUAAUAUCAAAUGUUAUUCAAAUUUCUCCCAAUUAUCUUCAGAAAUGGCUUUUUAUGGUUGAUGUAUUAAAGUUGUGAUCAUAACAAAGUCCACACAUGUAUUUUGGUUUCUGGAAUUCUCUUUUAGUCAAGAACAACCCCCUUCCCAACCACCCAAUCACUUAUGCAAACCAUUGACUUAGAGAAAUUGGAUUGGUUGUCCUGAGAAUACCUCACAUUCUGAAUUUUUCUGAUUGCUUCUUCUUUUAUAGUUCAAUUUGUUUUAUAUAUAUAUAAAAUUUCAUAUAUAUUUUAUUAUAUUUAUACAUAUAUGUAUAUAUACAUGUAUAGAAUGAAAAUUGUAGUUAGAGCUAAGGGCUCUGUUAGGGUCAGAUUCAACUUCUUAGUAAAAAUACGUCAUUGGUGGUGCUGUGAAAUACAUAAAGCAUCAUAUCAGGAGAAAAAAUGCCUAGCUGUCUCCACGUACUGAUGUUAAGCCUAGCUGAGGAAAGCCUGGUCCUUCCAUUAUAAAGUUUCUUUCUCUUAAUGGCCUUAACAUUCAUUGAUGCUAGUGACUUAUUCAAUUGUUCAAUAGAAUUUCAAAAUGCAAUUUGCUAAUGCUGUCAUUCCUUCCAUACUUUACAGCUGAGGUUUUUCUAUAAGGAAUGUUCUCUCAUCAUCUGGGGCAUUUCUACCCUGAAACACAUAGUUCACAUAGG